rnacentral:rRNA from 1 species
GAUGAACGCUGGCGGCGUGUUUAACACAUGCAAGUCGAGCGAGAUGUUUCUCAGUAGAUUCUUCGGAUGAUACAGAGUUACGGAAAGCGGCGGACGGGUGAGUAACGCGUAGGCAACCUGCCCCUUGCAGAGGGAUAGCCUCGGGAAACCGGGAUUAAAACCUCAUAAUGCGGCACUGAGACAUCUCAGAGCCGCCAAAGAUUUAUCGGCAAGGGAUGGGCCUGCGUCUGAUUAGUUAGUUGGUGGGGUAACGGCCUACCAAGGCGACGAUCAGUAGCCGACCUGAGAGGGUGAUCGGCCACAUUGGAACUGAGACACGGUCCAA